rnacentral:lncRNA from 1 species
CCUAAAGAUGAAAGAAGCAUAGGAUGGGUUGGGCUGGAAGGAACCUUAAAGAUCACAGAACAAUAGGAUGGGGUGGAAGGGACCUCAAAGCCCACCCGGUUCCAACAGCUGCCCCAGAGCAGAGUUACUCUCCUACAAGUUCCACUUCAGGCCCAGCUAUGGGAAGGACACACCGCCAUCGGGCAGUGCCAGCACCUUAAAAACAAGCGAAGCACAGAGAGCGACGAACGGAAAGAGAGGUGGUGGAGAGCCCUUUACCCUGUCAUAUUUGCUCGUCCAUCUCAAGGACAGCUGACAGCGAAGCAUCAGGUCUGCACUCCUUGUGUUUGCUCUCAG